rnacentral:rRNA from 1 species
ACGUAAGGGGCGAGCGUUGUUAGGAAUUAUUGGGCGUAAAGGGCGUGUAGGCGGUUUGGUAAGUCUGGGGUAAAAGGCGUACGCUUAACGUAAGUAGGUCGCUGGGGACUGUCAGACUAGAGUGUAUGAAGGGGAUCUGGAAUUCCAGGUGUUGUAGUGAAAUCUGUAGAUAUCUGGAAGAACACCGAUGGCGAAGGCAUGCUUCUAGCCAUACACUGACGCUGAGGCGCGAAAGCGUGGGGAGCGAACAG